rnacentral:rRNA from 1 species
AACGAGCGCUGGCGGCGUGCCUAACACAUGCAAGUCGAACGGGAAUGUUUCCUUCGGGGAACUAGUACCGUGGCGCACGGGUGAGUAAUACGUAGGUUACCUGCCUUUCGCUGGGGAAUAACUCCGGGAAACCGGAGCUAAUACCGCAUACGCUCUACGGAGGAAAGCCGGGGACCGCAAGGCCUGGCACUGAUAGAUGAGCCCAAGUCGGAUUAGCUAGUUGGCGGGGUAACGGCCCACCAAGGCGACGAUCCGUAGCUGGUCUGAGAGGACGAUCAGCCACACUGGGACUGAGACACGGCCCAGACUCCUACGGGAGGCAGCAGUGGGGAAUAUUGGACAAUGGGGGAAACCCUGAUCCAGCGACGCCGCGUGGGUGAAGAAGGCCUGCGGGUUGUAAAGCCCUUUCGGUAGGGACGAAAGCUCUCGACCUAACACGUCGGGAGGUUGACUUAACCUACAAAAGAAGCACCGGCUAACUCUGUGCCAGCCGCCGCAGUAA